rnacentral:lncRNA from 1 species
GCCAUGAUGGCGGUCCAAGCUUGCAAGGAAGAAGGUGAAUGCCACGACUUGAUCAAGACCCUGAUGCAUAAGGAAAACAUCACGGACACUAUAGCUCUUUGUAUGGAAGAAAAUGAAAUCGUCCCUAUCGAAGAGCCUGGACGCGGUCGAGGACCCGGUGGCCGCAGAGGUGGCCGAAGGGGUGGCAGGAGAGG